rnacentral:rRNA from 1 species
AUUGAACGCUGGCGGCAUGCCUUACACAUGCAAGUCGAACGGCAGCACGGGUGCUUGCACCUGGUGGCGAGUGGCGAACGGGUGAGUAAUACAUCGGAACGUACCUUAUCGUGGGGGAUAACGCAGCGAAAGCUGUGCUAAUACCGCAUACGCCCUGAGGGGGAAAGCGGGGGAUCGCAAGACCUCGCGCGAUUAGAGCGGCCGAUGCCUGAUUAGCUUGUUGGUGGGGUAAAAGCCCACCAAGGCGACGAUCAGUAGCUGGUCUGAGAGGACGAUCAGCCACGAUGGGACUGAGACACGGCCCAGACUCCUACGGGAGGCAGCAGUGGGGAAUUUUGGACAAUGGGGGCAACCCUGAUCCAGCAAUGCCGCGUGAGUGAAGAAGGCCUUCGGGUUGUAAAGCUCUUUUGUCAGGGAAGAAACACCGGCUCUAACACAGUCCGGGAAUGACGGUACCUGAAGAAUAAGCACCGGCUAACUACGUGCCAGCAGCCGCGGUAAAAC